ensembl:lncRNA LINC02981 long intergenic non-protein coding RNA 2981
GGCCGCCGCGGCUCCCGGGGCCUCCGCCUGCAGCCGGCGGCGGAACGAGGGCAGGCGGCUGAGACAGGCGAGCUAUUUGCAUUCCCCGGCAGUCAUUUUUAUAUGCGGAGGUAAUGAAGUUGUCAGCGGCGCCCCGAGUGUGGCAGAGCCUGAUAUUCAAAUCGCCCUGCCCGCUCCGCCUGCUCCCGCCCGCUGGUCCCGGGAGCCCCAGGCUGCGCGCGCCCGCACCGCAUCGCCGCUUUGCCCCGCGACCGCGCGCGCCUCCUCGUCCUCCCCCGCGCCUUUGUUUCCGUCUCCUUCUCCUUUCCCUCCUCUUUUGUGUCGGGCCAGACUCAGCCCCAGAAACCAGCCACCCUGCCGCGUCCGACUGCCAGGGAUCCCUCACGCCGCGAGGAAGAGACACUAGAGAGACACUCAGCUGCAGUGAGAAUACACAGGCAUCUUCAAGUACCAGAGAUGUCUCCAAGAGCACCAGCAACCCCAGCUAUCUGGAUCUGAAGUGGAUAUGCUCAGAGACAUCCUGGCCCACCCCAAAGAAGAUGCUGCUGCACUCAGAAGACGCCAGAGCUAGCCACCACCCACACUGCAAGUCUGGAAGCUCUGCAAGGACCCAGCAAGGCAGCCUGCUCAGCGAAGGCUUUGUCUCCUGUGGCAGGAAGAGCAACAUUAAGAACAAGAACCCCGGGCUGGACUACCCCUGAGAUUUAAUGACCAGAGCUGAGACCCCCAAGACCACAAUGACUAUGGAGGGCUGUCAUUACCCUGCCUGACCCUCUAAUGCCUCUCAGUUCAAGGAGGCCACUGAGUGAAACUGAAGGCUGGUUUUCCUUGGAAGCCAGCGGCCCAUCCACCUGCUCCACUUCCCUGCCUCUUGCAGCCUCCGCUCAAACACUGUCGUGGCUUGGCAGCACUACAAGGCAGAGUGAAAACAGAUACUUCUACCCACAUUCCUAUCUCCUCUCAUUUACGCAGAUUAAAUGCUUUCUUUCCUUGUUUUACACUGCUAGGAUUUUCAUCACCCUGUUUUUUCUUUCUCUACAUCAGCUACAAGAAAAAAAAAAGGAGUUACUGAGCAACUAAGAAGUCACAACUGUUUUCAGUUUUAUUAAUGAGUUGUUAUACUUAUUUUAUAGAUAGAGAAUUACCAUUAUAACAUUGCUCCAUUGCCCACUCAUCCAUUCACGCAUCUGUCCAUCCGUCCAUCCACCCAUUUGUCCACUCCCCAAAUGGUCAUCAAUUGUCUACUGUGAGCCAAGCAAAGUGCUCCUUACUUUGGACUCUGAAUCCAGUGCUCUUUCUACUUCACCAUAGACACAUGCCCCUUGAGUAUAAGGGAGCUUGAUUCAUUCAACAAAUAUCUGUUGUCCAUCUCCAAUGUACUGGCAUAUUCUAAAUGCAUCCAACAAAAACCAAAAUGAAAAAAAAGAAAAACCCAUUCCUUCAAGGGGAUUGCAUUCGGACUGGGGGAGACAGAUAAAAUAAAAAUAAUGAAGUCAAAUAUAUAUGUUAGUGACAUGUGCCAUGAAGAAUAAUGCCCAAUAGGUAAAUGGGGCAAUUAACAAACGUAAUGUAAAUAAAUUAGUUCCAAGAAAUCAUUGACUCACCAACAGAGGGAACACAAUUUGGUCCAUGGUAAAAUAUUCCUUGGUAUUAAUAAUUUCUUCUCCUAAAGUAUUUCAGGGGCUGCCAAGCUGCUCUCCUGUUUCCUCUUCCUUGGGGCUGAUUGCAUCCCAUGAUGUGCCCAGGUUUUGAGAUGCUCCUCGUGAAUGAAAAUAGGACUGUCUGGUUCCUCCAUCCAUAGCAAGGGAGCCUAGACAGAAAUAACUUCUGUGCAUUUCUCCAGCUACAUUUAGGUAAGUGAUGCCUUUUCUUCGUUUUCUUUAAGAUGUCCUAUAAAACCCUAUUGAUGUAGCUCAGUUGUUUGAAAUUUAUGAUGCUUUAGAUAGGCUUUGGCCUGAGAUUGCCUUGAGGAAUGGUGUAGGUACACAAAUUAAGAAUAAAAAUAAGAUUGCAAAAAAUUGCACCACUUAAGGGAAUUAGUUGCUUUUUUCAUUAUCUUGAAUAAUUUGUUCUUAAAUGCAUCAGAGGGACCAAAUCAUAGCUGACUGAUCGGCUCGUUAUAAAUAAUUCUCACCUAUUCCUAAAAGCGGGGGCCUGUUGUGCACUUGCUACCUCCGUUUAGAGAAUAUUGCACUUCAAGCCCAUUGGAUUUGAAAGUAAUAGAAAUGGUCUUUUUAAAGCCAAUAUUCUAGAAUGAGCACUUCAUUAAAUCGAGACCCACCUUUUACCCAAAUUUAGCUAGACUUUAAUGUGCAUCACACAUCUCUAAUCUGGGCUUUUCCUAUAGCCUCUUUCAAAGGACAUAUUUGUUCAGCCUUAUCAGUGAGGUAUUCAAUCAUGCUUCCCUUGUAUCAGGCACCUCAAGGGCAGGAGCUAACACAAAUGUGCUUGGUUUUUAAUAGCUGAAAAUAUGUCUACGUGAGGUUAACUGUAUUUACCCAAUGCCAGAUACCUGAAAGAGUGUGAAAAAUUAAGGUAAUUAUUAAUGUCUCCAAAUAGCUGGAUGAUGGUGUCAUAUUUGCAAUGCAUAGAUUAUGCCAUCAUGUCAGAUUUGGGACACUUUGGGAGGUUGGGAAUGGGAUGGGGAUGGGUGGCAGUGAAUAACAUCAGACAGGGUGGAUACGUAAUUCCAAAGUUGGAAUUAGUGUCUCUAUUUUAACAGCAAUUCCUUUACUUAACAGCAAUUCUUUUCUGUUUAUCAUUUUAGGGAAAACUAGAAAAUACAGAAAUAUAUCAAGAAGAAAAAAAAUUUAAAAAUGACCCAAAAUCCCACCAACCAGAGACAGCUAUUAAUGAUUGUGGUAUAUUUAUUGUAAGUCUCUUUAUUUCUGUCUUCAUGCAAACACAUUUUUAAAGAAUGGACACUGGUAUUAUAUUGUUUAUAC